UGCGUAGGUGGCAGUGCAAGUCAGAUGUGAAAGGCCGGGGGCUCAACCCCGGAGCUGCAUUUGAAACUGCGCGGCUAGAGUACAGGAGAGGCAGGCGGAAUUCCUAGUGUAGCGGUGAAAUGCGUAGAUAUUAGGAGGAACACCAGUGGCGAAGGCGGCUUACUGGACGGUAACUGACGUUGAGGCUGAAAGCGUGGAGAGCAAACA
rnacentral:rRNA from 1 species